UCAUUACACUGCGCCCAGCCACGGAGCAGCCUCUGUUUGCUUCACUCCUCAGCUCCUGUUUAACCACUUCCCUCCAAACAGCUGCAACUGCUGAUACUGCCUUCACCAGAUCCAACAGACCCAUCUCAUCAUCUUGCCACGUGCUCAGUGAACACAGGAGCUGCCCAAGCGCAGUGCCCGUGACCAGCUCCUCUUCCCAGUUGACCUCCUGCUACAUAAUGAAGCAGAAAAUGCCUGGCAAUACUGGAAGUGUGUAAGAAAUAGUUGACUUCACACCCAAACCAGAAAACUGAGGCUCAGUGUGUCUCUGCAGCUAAACAAAGGUAAACUAAAAAUUCAUAUUGUCAAGCUUGUUCUGAAUUUUCCUGUAGUUGUAGGAUAAAAAGCACUAAUUAUUAGGGAAGAAAAAAAUGCAGCCAGAAGAUUCUCCCCCAUCCCAAGAACACAUUGUGGAGGAUGCAAAAACAAUAUAUGGCAGGAAUAACAAAUGCUUUCUUUUCCAAGUACUCCCAUGAUUUAUGAAAGGUGUUCCUCACUGUGGGAAGAUAAUGCCAUUUGAAAUGGUCCAUUUCAUAAAUCUAUCCUCUUCACCCCUAGCUGCGUACAGGACUACUAUGAGCUCCUGAAUCCAAUAAUGUUUUCAUCCUCUACUGACAAAAAAAAAA